rnacentral:lncRNA from 1 species
GGAAACUUGGAUAAACUUCGGGCCAUCCAAUCCGGUAUGUCUCUGCGAGGACCAUCAGUCAGUAGUUUCCAUUUUUGUGAAUCCUCAUCCAUCAGGAAAUCCAAACGUCCACCAUUGACAACAUAAAAUGCACUUUUGUCCUCCUCACAGGGGGAUCUCUGGUUCAUUAACAAGGCCUCUGCUAUUUCUGCUCUUUGUCUCCACGUCUUUGAAGCAGCUUCAGAUGCUCUUAGAGAUCUCUCUAACGCUUCACAUCUCUUCAUGUAGGCGUCAUCUUGGAAAUGUGCAGUUUCUUUAGCUGCUUCAAUAGCAGCCUUGAUAGCGUCCAACUCAACCUUAAGAGCCUUCGAAGCUGCCCUCUCUUUUUCCACUGCAUCCUUCUUAAUCUUUUCCAAAAAUGAUUUGACUUCCUCCUCUUGUUGAAGAGCUGCUUUCUUGCUUGACUCUUGAAGUUCAAAAAAGGCUUUCUCAGCUUCACUUACUUGGUGUUCAAAAGCACUACAUCGUUGAUGGGCCUGUUCCAACUCCAACUGUAACCUGUUAAUCUCAUUGCUCGAAACUAUUAAACGUGACUCUAAGUUAUUGAUGUCAUUUUGUAGCUUAAUAUUUUGAGAUUGAACGUACAAAAUAUCAUCAAGAGGAUUCAUAUCAUCUGUAAAUAAAGCCAUGGCUUUAGUUGACUGAUCACCAGCUGAUUCUGCAACAGCUAAUGCUUUCUCUAUUGCAAUUUUAGAUUGCUGCACAAUGGAAAAUAUUGUCCCCUCUGUGGCAUGCAGGAUUUGUUCUUCAAUUUGAUAUGCUGCCUCUGCAGCAGCUGUUUCAGCUGCUGAAACUUUCAAUUUUGCAUCUUCUAAUAUGUGAGAUGUUGCUUGCUGGAAAGCUAUUUCUGCCAACUUUUCAACUUGCACAGCAAGCUCAAGAGCAUCUUGUUUGGCAAGGACCAACUUAGACUCCAAAUUGAACUUCUCCCCAACAGACUGCUCCAACUUCUGAUUGAACAGAGCUUUUGCUGCCUCAAGCUCUGCAAUGGCCACCUCCUUAUCACGCAUGAUAGUGGCAACAUACUCCUGCUGCUUAGCCUCAGAACGAGCUAAUUCUUCAAGUAAUAAAUCUCUCUCUUUCUCAAUAGCAUCUUGUCUGGCUCGCGCCUCAGCUAGAGCAUUUCUAGUUGCCAGAAUUUCAUCUUCGUCAGCCCCUAUAACUUCACUCCUCCCCGAUGCAUCGCCAUCGCUAUCAUCUAGAACAUCAGCAGAAGUCCCUCUUGAAGCACCCUAUCAUUGAGAAGAAUUUUGGAGACAUAGACAAUUCACAAUUUAACAGCUGCCACUUAUUCACUUUAGCAAUCUUUAUUAGCAAUUGCUCUAUUUAAACAUGCUUCUUGAGCAAUAAGACGUUUCUUGGAAUGAAAUUUUAGAAGAUAGCCAUCCUAACAGUUCAUGCUGUCAGUUUGGUGCUUGUAAAGAUCUCUUUUCUACUAUAGAAUGCACCAAACUGAAUCUGUGACCCCGAUAACAUGUUUCAACACGUUUUGAAAUUAGCUGGCUUAUCGCGAUUCUUUAUACAUAUUAAUCAUGUAGCUCAUACACAAAUACGGGCAUAAAGCAUAAACCUUUUCUUCUCAUAAAUCAAGAAACCACAACAAAAUUAGUAGAAAGCACAAGGUCAUGACCUAUAACAGCUUACCGUUCUCGAGAGAGGAGUAGUCCUUAGCUUACGCUGCAAACCAUCUGAAUAACAUGUUUUCCUACAAAAUAUGAUGCAUUAAAUAGAUAACUCGUGUAUAUAGAAACAUCAAUUAGAAGCCAAUUAUUAUGUAUGAAGGUAAAGAGUUUUGCUUGUUCAAUACCUGUUUCUGUUCACAGGAUAAAUAUUUCUCUUAUUAAGUACAAGAUAAGAUAUGCGGCCACAAUGCACCCCAGAUGAAACUACGGGAGUGGGUUGAUUUAGCAAAGAAGCCCUCAAAUUUACUGUCUCGGACAAUGAAGCUGCACCCAUACCGUCCUGCCAUCAAAGAAAUAUUUAAUUCAUAAUUCUGGAAAGUAUCAGUUCUUGAAAAUCACCAAUAAAAUAAUAAAAAGCUAUAAGCAGCCCAUCCAAAAAAAAAAAAAAAGAAUAAAAGUGAAACUAGCGCAUUUAUGAUUUGACGGAGGAUAAAACAUUAAGGGAAUACGUUUUCCGACCGGAUGAUUUCUCCAAUCUCAAAUGCCUAACUUUUACAUCAUUUGGACAUGAGAAGAAGAUUCUGAAACUAGUAUUAAAAGAGAGAGAGAGGAAGAAGAAGAAAAUGCCAGUAAAAAGGAGGUAAAAAAGUACUACUAGUACCAGUAUAAUGACUGGUGCUUUGCUAAUUGUAGCAGAGUGCAAAGAAGCAUGGAUAGAACUCCACUUGUGGGAGAGAGGAGCAGUAGCGACUAGCGAAGCGGGAGAAGCCUCGCCCUGGCCCACGCUGGCCCCGAGGAAAAGGCAUCGUGUGCUUCCUAUAAAUCACGGGGAUUUGAACCUGUUACUUACUUUCUACUUUGGUUGACCUCCACUUAAAAAGGACUUGACAAUAAAUAGAAAGGUAAAAACAACAUAUGAACCGGAAAAGGACCCCUUUCGCUCGGAAAUGGAGCAGGAACGGUUGUCUCGGCAGUUGACGGUCAUGGACCGGAAUUAAAAAUUUUUGUGUGGUCUAAAUCACAUCUCGUAACUCGAUUUUCACGUGAUGCGUGAGAUUUACAAAAAUUCAUUUUAAAAUUACGUAGUGUGCAAAGAAAGUUAUAUCGUAUGCAAUCAAAAUUAUGCACAGUAAAAAAUGCAUACAAUCGACAGAAACGAUUGCAGUUGCAAGCGUUUGGCCCCUUGUUCCGCUCGCUUACUCGACUUUUGACUUUUGUUUUAUUUGUUCCCCACCACCAUAUGUAGUUAUGUACUACGAAAGUACGAACCCUUUUCGAACAUUGAUGCAUGAUAGCUUCUUGAAAAAACUCUCCCACCCGGACCCAUGCACGAAGCCCUACUUGUACACUGGCUCAUGGCUCAUGAGCUCAUGGCUCAUGAGCUUCUUACUAUUUCAAGAAGUGCCAGAGCUUUUUAAAUUUUUUUAUGAAAAAAGUUUUUCUAAUAGGUGAUCAGUGAGCAUUUGUUAAUACACUUAAUAGAGUUGCAAAUGAGUCGAGUCGAAUUUUGAUCUAAUUGAACUGAAUUUCGCUUUUAUAUUACCAAUCUCAACAAAUUUUCAAUGUAAAUCUCGAACACUCCCAUUAGACAAAUCCAUCUCUUAAUUUAAUUACUGCAGAUACUUUUCUGAGCACACAGACCCCUUUUUCUUUAAUCACUGCUGAUAACGUUCAGGAGGUUGUAACCAAAUUCGCUAUUAACACAAUAUGCUUUUGUAAUUAGUAGGUUAUAUAUAUUUUGUCACAGUCUUCCUCUUUCUCAUACUUUCACCGAUUAUAAGCCAAUAUUUACAUGCAAGGUUCUUAAAACUUCCGUUUUUGUCUUUUCGGAACUUCCUACGGGUGCUUAAUGCUGUCAAUACGAUCUUUUCUAUGCUUGAGGUGGACAAAUUGACCAUUCAAGAUGGCGAAUAAGGGGCAGGAAAAACCAACUGUUCCAGAAAUGUUAAUGGCUAUGAUGGCCCAAAUUUUGAAAUCGAAAAGCAACCAUUUUAAAGAUUUGUAAGGUGGACAAAGACGGCUGUUAGGGGGCAGGAACAAGCAACCAUUCCAACAAUGUCAGUGGCUAAAACGGCCCAAAUUUUGCAGUACCAACUACCAAGGAGACAAUCGAAUGCUACUACGGUCCCUUCGAUAAAAUAGAAUGCUAUUAUGUCCAACGUGUUUUGCUGCUCGAAAUCAACUCACUCAAUAAAUCUAGAAAGGAAAAAAAAAAGAAGAAGCUGCAACAUAAGAUCGGACACAUCUUACAAUAACUUCCAUCAGAGAUCGGACACAUCUUACAAAAACUUGUUGUGAUGCUUUACAUCGCUAUCCUUGACUUGAAAAGAUCGGUAGUCAAAAGAAUGGUACCAAUGCAGACUUUAGAAGGUGUACCUUUAAAAAGGGGGAAAAUUCCAAAUUAAACAAAAGAAAGAGGGUCGAAAAGCCUAGGAGGGUUCAUUACAAGAAAAGAUAUAUCCUCAUUUGCUCGCACCAAUGGCCAACAACAACUGACAAAAUUCUCACUUGCCAUUAAGCUUAAAACAAAGCUUGUGAAAAGUGGAACUUGAUGGCGCCAAAUAUUUGUAGUAGCAAUUCCAAAGUACAUAUACUGAGUAUCAUUCAACUUCUCCAUCCUGCAGCAAAAUAAUAAAGACAAGGAGAUGAACACCAUUUUCUUGCAAAUUGUGCAAAUGCUACUUGGCCUCAGCAGAGCAUCCAAGCAACUGGCUUUAUUUUUCCUCAAAUAAGGCAUAACAUGCAUGCCAUACAAAACAAACGGGAAAACAAAAAGUUGUAUCAUCCCAGCUAAUAAUAUAGUAUGAAAGGCAACUAUCACCUACCUAUGUGCACGGUCAAAAAGAGUAAAGCAUGGCGACUUAAAAUUACCAGUAGAUGAACUUCUCGCUGUAUCACAUCACAGAAAUUUCAGAAGAAAUGCAAAGCUUUGAGUCAGCCCCACCCGAUAUCACACAAUUGCUUUUCCACCAGUCAGCACAUAACACCUAAAUCAUGAAGCUCAGAGGUUAAGAAACUCAUAUUAGUUUAGACAAUAUAACAAAAAAUAGCAGAAAAUUUAGAAAAGAGCACCUUAUCCUCAUGUGAAUCAAUAACAGCCAGAGGCCACUGCAACGCAUAAUAUAGAAUGAAGCAAUCAACAUCUGAAGAUAAUAUUACUGCAAGCACAUAAAUAAAAAGUAACAGAAAACUAAAGUUUUACCGCAGUUCUCAGAUCCCACAACAUAACUUUCCCGUCAUAAGAUGCCGAUACUAAAUGAUACCAUGAAUUAUCAUGCCACUUGCAGCCAGAUAUCCAGGAAGUGUGAGACGAGAACUGAAAGGUAGGGGCCAAAGUACCUAUAAAACAACCAAAUUGAGUAUCAGACCCAAUACUUGCCGCCAGCAGUACAAAGGGUUAGAUUCCAUGAGACCUCACAAGUACAAUUGUGCUUGUAUGUGGAUGUUUCUGUCUGAGUGAGUGAGUGAGAGAGAGAGAGAGAGAGAGACUGACCAGGUUUGCGAGGAUCCCAUAUUCGAAGAAUAGGGUCUGAACCACCAGCAGCAAUGAGGGAGGAACUUUCACCUCCAACAUCAAGACAGUUAAUAACUUUCCCACAGUACUGCAAAGAAUAAAUAUAGUUAUUAUCUACUUUCAGCAUCUGGAAAGAAAUUAAAAAUUUACAAAAUGAGCAAGUUCCUAAUUCUUCACAGAAGCAUCUCAAAAGAUUAUUCUAGCAAAACUAAUUGCUGAAGCAUGGCUUACGUCCAACAACACAUGAACAGCCAGUUACAAAAAUAGCUUGCAAAAAUUAAACACCGAGUGAAACCUAUUUCAGGGAACAUGGAGAUACAUGAACAGAACACAAUUCUGGCACUUAGAAUGCAUACCAAAACAUGACCAAACUUCAGUCUGCAGCAUAAGCAACCACAGUGCAAUCUAUAUCAUAUACAUAUAAUCUAGGCCAUUUGGAGUCUUAGCUAGGUGUAGGGAAAGUCAUUUGUCAUAUUGAGUGACGAGAUUAAAUACAACAUUAUCCUCCAUCUUGGCUUCUGUCUGACACACAUUAAUGUAAUAGCUAUUACUCUCAGAUUUAUAAUUCAAUUUUAUACCAAACAAGAGAACAAGAGUUGCAUAAUCUUCACUAUGUGUUUAAUCAGAGCAUGUAUCAAGUCAGAAACAGAUGCCAAUUCACCUCCAUUUAAAGAGGAAUAUAAGCAAAAUAGUACAAAGCCCAACAGUACAUGUUCCAGAAGAUGGGGAGAGAUUUAUCUGUUAAUCCGGGCAUCUGAAUUAUUCUGCAUCCAGAUUGAAUUCAAAUUCCUAAACAUAAACUAUUGGUCCAUGCUCAUACAGAUAAAGUUGGAUAGAAGACGAAUAGAAGUCGAUGACAUAUAAAAUAUGUGCAAAGUUGCAAAUGCAACUGAAAAGAAAGGAGUAAAUAUAUAUUUAAAAAAAACAAAAGCUGUUGAUUCUUCUUACCAUGUUCAUUGAAUCUUUGCCUGUCUCAACAUCCCAUCUUCUGAUUGAAUGAUCCCAUGAUGCUGAGUAUAAUGUUUCAUGCUCAGGCCAAACCACAGAAGAUACACAUUGUGUAUGUCCCACAAGUGUAGAAAUGGGCUCCCCCUGCAUGCCAUUGACAACUAAUUUCUACAGUCUGAAAGCUUUUCCGACCAAUAAAAUGACUUCCCAUAAGUUUCAAUCACUAUGGACGACAUGUUUUAACUACUAGCUUAUGGUGCAUAGUAUAAAACCAUAAAACUUGUAGCGAAGAAUAAACGGAUGGAGCUAUGGAAACUUCUCUUUAGCUUUGAUUUCAAUGAAAGCCUCUGAUAUCUAAGAAUUUGGUGGCUGACUAGAAAACCCACUUCAUUUAAAAAAAAAAUUUCACCAGUAAGUUGCAAAGUAUUAAACAUGCUAUACCUCUGACUUAGGUUCCUCAUCUUCGAUGUCCACUUUCCUCUUCUUAACUGACAUAAAAUCACCUCCAGAAUCGGAAUCAUUCGCUUGCCACACAUUGAUCCUACAAUCCCAGGAACCUGAGCAAAUCUGAGAAAUGAAUCAGACAACUGUUACAAAUACAAACUCAAUUCCAUAUGGGAGGUGUUGUGAUAAGGGCCUCUAGGGUAGAAAAUAAUACGUUAAUACCUUAGCACCGGAAGGCUCAGCAGCAAUGCAUUGCACAGAAGCAUUAUGUCCACGUAAAGUCUGAAACGAUUGAAUCUUCUUCAGUUGGCCCUGGAACUCCUCUAUAUUGACCUUCAUCAAACACAAUUACAAAUAAGGUAUUCAGCAGAAGCCCAAGUCAAACUUCAGAAGUAAUGGCACCUUCUAAUUACCUCAAACAACCUCAAUGUCAUAUCUUUAGAAGCAGUAGCUACUACUCUCCGACCAUCACUUCCUAGAAUUGGAAAUACAGAAAAGUAAAACAGAUGGAAGAGGGGAAAAAAAAGAAUCAGUAUACAUAAUUGAAAAAUCAGAUUGAGCAAACUUCAUUCCAAAACAAUAACUCCCAACAGUACCUAGAGGAUCGAGAAUACAUACAGAAGUAAUUGCACCAGUGUGUCCCUCCAGUAGAUGUGUACAUACACCAGCAGUUUUCCAUAUCCUGCAUGUGUUUAAAUCACCUUUGAUAAACCUAGCAGUAAAUUGCCAACUAAUCUGAAGGUAAGAACAAAAAAUUUCUUUGUUAAGAUUGUUACCUUCCAAACCCAUCAUAGCAUCCAGUCAAAAUGAACCUACAGGAACAUAAAGCCCAUGGAUGUACAGCAUAAGUUACAAGAAAAGAGUAUCAGACUGAACGCCACAACAUAUAUGAAUUAAUAGCUUGUCCUGUUUUACAUAGAGCUUUGGAAGAGGACAAAUAUGUGAUGGACCAACAUCCUUUACAUGCAUACCUAGGAUUUGAGCCAUCUACUGCACUAACCCAAUCAUCAUGCAGGGAAGGAUCCUCUUUUUUUCUUGGGGCCACAGCUUUAAUGUACUCAAUUUCCAGAAUCUUCUCCUGUAAUGUGUCAAAGUGUGAAGUCAAAAGCAAGAACAUAUGAAGGUGCAAAGCAUCUCAUAGCAAGCUCGCUGCAAAAUUCUCCUGUCAUUUGAUUUAUAUCCUUUGCUACAGCAAUCUCGCAUAAAUUUUAGAAAUUCUUUAGAUGCCAAGAAGAUUGCUGUCAUGUGUUUGCGAAAUCAUCAUAUUCAGGAAGAAUCUUACAGCAGAUAUUCCCUUGGCAAGAAGAAAUUCUUCGAGGGACAUCCGGACCAGCUCUCCAUCAAUGAGAAAAUCGAAAGCUUCAAUUUUCCAAUCAGCAUUUCCUGGGAAACAAUUGGCCUAUAAGCUUAGACACAUUUAUAAUAAAUGCUUGCAAAGAGAAAACUGUUGUAUCAGUCUCCCACUGCACAAAAACUACCUGUCAAACAUUUAUUAGGCUUGGCCAAGAAGGGCCAUAACAUUUCAAAAAAUUUUAAAAAAAUCUUCAAAACAACCCUGUUCGUCUUAGCAAAUCCCAGAAAAGUUUUUUGUCGACCGCAUAGCUCAAAACACGAUCAAGUGACGCAAUUAAUUAACAAAGGAACAACCAUGAAAACAAAAGGAAGACCAUUCAAAGAAUUAGAACUAAUCAAAAGCUUACAUAAAUAUACAAAAUUGGAUGAUAUGGGCAAAAGAAAAAAGUACCAGCUUUGAGGAGGUUAUUGACGAGAGCAGAGAGACCGAAACGAGUGAGGUUGGUAGGGAUGGCAAUAGAAGUAGGAGGGGCUUUGUAUGGAGGCUUUAGCUUCGUCACGAACCGCACCCGAAUGCGCCUUGAAGCUUCUUCUGCAUCUCCAUCUAUAUCCAUAUCUUACUGGACGGAGAUCGGAGAUGUAUGGCAGAAUGAGAGAUAGGACGAAGAACGGGAGACCGGGGAGCUUGCUGGAUACCGUAUUCCUAAGAAGUUGAGGGUAGCAACAAACGGAGCGGGAGUUCAAACUCUCGGGUUCGGAGGGGCAUUCGGUGGGGAAAGUCUAGGGUUUUUAACUAUAGUAGAGCUUUUUAUUUUUUUGGUACUAACUCUAGUAGAGUUUCAACUUCAGAUAUUCGGUCCUCGUGCGUUUUCUCGUUUAUUUAAUGGGAUAAUUUUUUGAGGUUUUUCGUAGUGUCACUCAACUCUCACUAGUUUAACAGUACCAAAAGUCCUUGUCUUUUUUUUUUUUGUUGUCCGACGGAGGGGGUAUCUGGAGCAUCGGAUAAAUCGGACUCGACUAAUCCCUCACCGGCCCGGGAGGAGAGGCCCCAUCCCCCCGAACACGAUAACCAUGGGACUCGAACCCUGGCGGGCACUGGACAACAGCUUAGGAGGCAUGCUGUGACCAAUCGAGUUGCCCAUAAGGGGCACCAAAAGUCCUUGUCAAAUGACACAAAUUGAUAACAUUAUCCCUACACUCUUAAUAAAUAUUUAAUCAAAAAGCUAAAAAAAAAAAAAGAAACUUUUAAACCAAAAAAUGUAGAUGAAAAAAUUUUAAAAAAUACUUCUCCAUAUUAAGAUGGUGGUGGGACAGCAAAUGAUGUGAGUAAAUUAAACCUGGUGAAAGUCAACCAUUUAGAACGAUUUUAGUGAGUAAUUAACACCUUACAAAUUUUGUGGGAUAGUAAUAAAAAAGUCAAGAAAAUUUUUUAGAAAAUAUGUUUUAAUACAUGAUGUAAUUUAAAUUGUACUAAAAAUUUAAAUAAUUACUUCAUACAUGUAGUUUGUAAUAUAAAUCCUACUUAUAGAAAUAAACUCUUAUAAAUAAGUCACAAUUAAAAACAUUAAUAAAAAAAAUGAUCCAAUGAUCAAAUAUAUAUCUAAGAAUAUCCUAUGUUUUUUUACCUUUUAACUUUAUUUUAUUUUUUAUUGUUGUUAUGAGUUUCAUAAGAAGGAUAACAUAAGAGUAGUAUUAGAACAAAAAUUUUAUCUUCCUUGCAUUUCCUCCGAAGAGCCUAAAACAUUAAAAAAAAAUGUCAAUUUAAGAGAGGUAGGUAAAAUUUUGAAAACUUAGAGGGCACCAAGUGAUAUUAGGAUGAACGUGAGGGGAAGUUUCUAAAAUUAUCCCUUAUUUAAAUUUCGUUUUCCUGCUCGCAAUACUAAGUUAAAUAGAAAAUGCUUUUUAUUCUUUUCCCGUUUUGGAAUUAAUCAUUGUCAGUAUAGAAUUUUUGUUAUAUCUUUUACCGUUUCACAAUUAAUCUUUGUCAGUAUAUAAAUUUUAUGCAUAACACAUAACCUUCCUCUCAUGUCUCUGCAAAACGAUAAAUUCAAUCAAGGAAAGCUACUCCAAGAAUUAAAAUUAUGGAAUUAAAGCUCCAUCCUGUCUGCAUAUAUAUAUAUAUUUCUCAAGGACGUGCUCCACAAGUAUGUCACCUUCCUUUGGCUUUUCUUUAGCAAUUGACCAUACUUCAUCUAGCUUGGGCAAGUCCAAAGACAUAAACUUGGAUAUCUCAGCUUCUGAGACAUCAGUCUUUCUAGGUGGAAACUUGGGAAACUUGGAUAAACUUCGGCCAUCCAAUCCGGUAUGUCUCUGCGAGGACCAUCAGUCAGUAGUUUCCAUUUUUGUGAAUCCUCAUCCAUCAGGAAAUCCAAACGUCCACCAUUGACAACAUAAAAUGCACUUUCGUUCUCCUCACAGGGAGAUCUCUGGUUCAUUAACAAGGCCUCUGCUAUUUCUGCUCUUUGUCUCCACGUCUUUGAAGCAGCUUCAGAUGCUCUUAGAGAUCUCUCUAACGCUUCAC